rnacentral:rRNA from 1 species
GCUGGCGGUAUGCUUAACACAUGCAAGUCGAACGGAAACGAUAGAAGCUUGCUUCUAGGCGUCGAGUGGCGGACGGGUGCGUAACGCGUGGGAAUUUACCUUUUAGUGGGGGAUAGCCCGGUGAAAACCGGAUUAAUACCGCAUACUACUCUACGGAGGAAAAGGGGCCUCUCCUUGGAAGCUCUUGCUAUUAGAUGAGCCCGCGUAAGAUUAGCUAGUUGGUUGAGGUAAUGGCUCACCAAGGCAACGAUCUUUAGCUGGUUUGAGAGGAUGAUCAGCCACACUGGGACUGAGACACGGCCCAGACUCCUACGGGAGGCAGCAGUGGGGAAUAUUGGACAAUGGGCGCAAGCCUGAUCCAGCAAUACCGCGUGUGUGAAGAAGGCCUGAGGGUUGUAAAGCACUUUCAAUAGGGACUAAAUGUUCGUAGUUAAUAACUGCGGAUCUUGAAUUAACCUAUAGAAGAAGGACCGGCUAACUCCGUGCCAGCAGCCGCGGUAAUACGGAGGGUCCGAGCGUUAAUCGGAAUUACUGGGCGUAAAGCGCGCGUAGGCGGUUUAUUAAGUCGGAUGUGAAAGCCCUGGGCUCAACCUGGGAACUGCAUUCGAUACUGGUAAACUAGAGUAUAGUAGAGGUAAGUGGAAUUCCAUGUGUAGCGGUGAAAUGCGUAGAUAUGUGGAGGAACAUCAAGUGGCGAAGGCGACUUACUGGACUAAUACUGACGCU